UGAGGGAACCGCAAGGUGACCUGACCGUGAUGCAGGAGUCAGCAGAGGGCGUAGUAGGUGAUGCUGUCGGCAAGGCUAGUGAGGCACUCCAAGGCC
rnacentral:ncRNA from 2 species